CCUACGGGAGGCAGCAGUGAGGAAUAUUGGUCAAUGGGCGGAAGCCUGAACCAGCCAAGUCGCGUGAGGGAUUAAGGCCCUGCGGGUCGUAAACCUCUUUUUCCGGGGAGCAGUAGUCCGGACGCGUCCGGACCGGGAGAGUACCCGGAGAAAAAGCAUCAGCUAACUCCGUGCCAGCAGCCGCGGUAAUACGGAGGAUACGAGCUUUAUCCGGAUUUAUUGGUUUUAAAGGGUGCGUAGGCGGGCAUUUAAGCCGGCGGUAAAAUGUCGGGGCUGAAACGCGGCCUGCCGUCGAAACUGGGUGGCUUGAGUGGGCGAGAAGUAUGCGGAAUGCGUGGUGUAGCGGUGAAAUGCUUAGAUAUCACGAAGAACUCCGAUUGCGAAGGCAGCUUACUAAACUGCCACUGACAUUGAUGCUCGAAAGUGUGGGUAUCAAACAGGAUUAGAUACCCUAGUAGUC
rnacentral:rRNA from 1 species